CACCUGGGGAGUACGGCCGCAAGGUUAAAACUCAAAUGAAUUGACGGGGGCCCGCACAAGCGGUGGAGCAUGUGGUUUAAUUCGACGCAACGCGAAGAACCUUACCUGGCCUUGACAUGCAGAGAACUUUCCAGAGAUGGAUUGGUGCCUUCGGGAACUCUGACACAGGUGCUGCAUGGCCGUCGUCAGCUCGUGUCGUGAGAUGUUGGGUUAAGUCCCGUAACGAGCGCAACCCCUAUCCCUAGUUGCUAGCAGUUCGGCUGAGAACUCUAGGGAGACUGCCGGUGACAAACCGGAGGAAGGUGGGGAUGACGUCAGGUCAUCAUGGCCCUUACGGCCAGGGCUACACACGUGCUACAAUGGUGCGCACAGAGGGCUGCAAACCCGCGAGGGGGAGCCAAUCUCACAAAACGCAUCGUAGUCCGGAUCGCAGUCUGCAACUCGACUGCGUGAAGUCGGAAUCGCUAGUAAUCGUGAAUCAGAAUGUCACGGUGAAUACGUUCCCGGGCCUUGUACACACCGCCCGUCACACCAUGGGAGUGGAUUGCACCAGAAGUGGUUAGUCUAACCUUCGGGAGGACGAUCACCACGGUGUGGUUCAUGACUGGGGUGAAGUCGUAACAAGGUAACCGUA
rnacentral:rRNA from 1 species